CUAGCUUACGUGGAGGCGCUGGUGGGAUACUACCCUAGCUGUGUUGGCUUUCUAACCCGCACCACUUAUCGUGGUGGGAGACAGUGUCAAGCGGGCAGUUUGACUGGGGCGGUCGCCUCCUAAAAGGUAACGGAGGCGCUCAAAGGUUCCCUCAGAAUGGUUGGAAAUCAUUCAUAGAGUGUAAAGGCAUAAGGGAGCUUGACUGCGAGACCUACAA
rnacentral:rRNA from 1 species